UACGUAGGGACCGAGCGUUGUCCGGAAUCAUUGGGCGUAAAGAGCGUGUAGGCGGCCUUUUAAGUCCUGCGUGAAAUCCUGCGGCUCAACCGCAGACGGUCGUGGGAAACUGGAAGGCUAGAGUGCGGGAGAGGAGAGUGGAAUUCCCGGUGUAGCGGUGAAAUGCGCAGAUAUCGGGAAGAACACCCGUGGCGAAGGCGGCUCUCUGGAACGUAACUGACGCUGAGACGCGAAAGCGUGGGGAGCAAACAGG
rnacentral:rRNA from 1 species